rnacentral:rRNA from 1 species
UACGUAGGGGGCUAGCGUUGUCCGGAUUUAUUGGGCGUAAAGAGCGUGUAGGCGGCCAGAUAGGUCUGCUGUGAAAACUCGAGGCUCAACCUCGAGACGUCGGCGGAAACCAUCUGGCUAGAGUCCGGAAGAGGAGAGUGGAAUUCCUGGUGUAGCGGUGAAAUGCGCAGAUAUCAGGAAGAACACCGGUGGCGAAGGCGGCCCUCUGGACGGUGACUGACGCUGAGACGCGAAAGCGUGGGGAGCAAACAGG